UUUGCAGAAAAUAAAAAGAAAACCAAAAGAGAAGAGAUCUGGGAUCUCCAGCAGAGUAAUGGGACAGAAUGAAAAGAUAUCAGAACAAUCUCUGGUACAAUAGAUGUAAUCACUCUAUCCAUUACAAAAAAAAUCUAGCACUCUUUCAUGUUCUGUCUAUGCUGCUGACUUCCUGCAUCUUGUUCAAAUUUGCCCAGAGAAGAGUGCAGAUGACUUCCCUUCUAUGUAAAGGAAAGUGUCCUCUCCCGGAUGUUUGCUCCCCCCAUUUCCCUUUUUAAGAUGCUGAGGACUCUGCCUCCCUCUUCCUGUGGGUAACUGGAAAAUAAAACCACAAAAAAGGUUAUAAUUCAA